AUGUCGUUCACUGAACCACCUUUUUCCUGCAUAUAUAUCAGACAGGAGAGACACGCACGAGGAAGUAUAAACCAAGGCUCUAACCAGUGGCUACCUUGCUCGGCUAAGUGCCUCUUUGUGUCAUUCUCCUCUCGGUCGCAUGUUGAGUCAGUAAUGCCACAGCACCAACAAAGUUGCCCACAAGGACACCCCGUCAUGCUGUUCAACUACCGGCUACGCGUGUCAAAAACAAGAUGUCGCAUGCAUGCAUGCAGAAGGCGCCUCGUGGAGGAACGGGAGAAAGGGGAGGAGAGGAGGACGGCUGCGACUCGUGUCCGGCGCCAUGCAUGCAAUCGAACGACGGGAGCGCAGAGUAAGGAAGGAAUGAACGUAACGUGUGAAGGAAGGUCGUUGACAUGGACGGCGGCGAGCAUCAAAUUCAAGUCGAUGGACGGCUCGGGCUUUUCCUUUUCGGCUCCGUCCGCCCGCGGUGAAAUUGAGGUGCUCGCUCGGAAUGGGAAUCGGGGGCGGUGCUUUGGUCGGAAUCGACGGAGCGUAACCGGCAUGCAUGCCAAUGCCAUGUUGGAGGGAGAUCGAAGAGGAACUGGGAGGUGUAGGCGGAUGGCAGGGAGCUCGAGAAGAGGAGGACGGGAGAUGGGCAAAUGGACGUACUGGUCAGGUCCGGCGAUGGCGGAGCCAGCUAUCUGGCAAGGCCUGGCAGCUGCCACACCUAAAUUUCAACCGAAGGUACUAGUACACCUACGUGCUGGACAUGGACCUGGUACUACAAAAUCCGCCGCCGCCGCCGCCGCCGCUGCAGAAUCCUUCUCCGUCGCCUCCGCCGUCUUGCUCCUCCCGCCUCACCCCUCUCCUCUCCCUCCAAACCCUAACCGUGCCCGCCUCCCUACCCCCCGCCGUAGUCUCCUUCGCCGUCGGGAGCUCAGCCCGGGAUGGCUGCCGCAGGGUUCCUGGCGGGCUUCCUCCUCGGCCUUCUCGCGCUCGCGGAGGCCGAGGCGACCGCGCUGCUCUGGGUCGCCCGCCGCCUCUACCGCCGGCUGCUUUGGAGAUGGUGAAUGCGACAGUCAGGCGUUGAGGAGGGCGUGUACUAGAGCCCGGUCGUCGGAGGCGCGUGCAGCGUGGUGCGUGCUAUGUUCUGCUCUCCUCCAGCAUGUGUGCAACGAUCUGUUCCGGCCAACCGUGGAUGUAGCAAACGAGAUCAUCUUGGCUGUGUUGCAGCUGAUAAGAAAGAAGAUAGAGCUUCAGGUGAACCGUGUCGUCCCUAGGAAUUUGUUGGCCUCGAGGAUUGUUCCAGUAAGUACUUCUGAUGACAACAUGAUGUUGGGCCUCAGGGACAUGGUAACAAACAGAAAUAUAUUGAAGCACAUUGCUAUCAUCAACUCAUCGUCCACUCGUGCCUGUCGGGUCACGCUCUGCAGCAACGGCGCACGCCGCCGGCACCAUAUGAUAGCUAUGGUGUUUGAUGUUGACCGACCUUGCGCCUGUUACGAGGGGGAUUUCGUUGCUUGGAGAUCUCCUGGGAGAGGUGCUGCCUGCCGAGGUAACAAGCAUCCCUCUCCAUGUGCUCGACACUCUGUGCCCGACCCCCAACCUCCCUGGAUCCCGGCGCGCCCCUCCCACACACUCCCGACCUCCUCCCGGCGCACAUGCCACCGCCCCUGCUCCUCCCUCCUCCAGGUUCAUAUGAAGCAACAACACACCAGGUUCUUGUUUACAAGCCGGACCCUGGAGAAUCCGGAGAAGGAGAGGGAAGCGGGAGGCGGUGGCGCACAAGGUGCGAAGAUGCCCAAGGCCGGCAGGCCGCGCACGAGGGGGAAUCCGGAUCCGGAGACGCAGAGGGAAGCCAAGAAGAGAAGCCUGGCAGCAGAGGAGGCCUCUCCCGACGCACUCCAUGAUCGGGCUUCAGCCAUGUUUGCAGCCUUUGAGCACGGCGAUGCGCCUCAAUCCGAAGCAAAACCAGGUGAUUUUUGCCCCAUUUCCUCAUCACGGCAGAUUGUGGCAUGCAUGUUUGUUGGUGUUUACUUGUUCCUGCUGGACGAUUGUUGUUCUGCAGAUCGUGUCUACGAUGUGACUGAGUCCGUGACGGAGGAAUCCACUUGUCCACCCAUUCCUCUGCUCCACGAACCCUACAUCCCUGACGAGCUAGCUUCCCAUCCGGGCGCGCACCACGCCUUCUAG
rnacentral:rRNA from 1 species